UCCAGACUCCUACGGGAGGCAGCAGUGGGGAAUAUUGGGCAAUGGGCGCAAGCCUGACCCAGCAACGCCGCGUGAAGGAAGAAGGCUUUCGGGUUGUAAACUUCUUUUGUCAGGGACGAAGCAAGUGACGGUACCUGACGAAUAAGCCACGGCUAACUACGUGCCAGCAGCCGCGGUAAUACGUAGGUGGCAAGCGUUAUCCGGAUUUAUUGGGUGUAAAGGGCGUGUAGGCGGGAAUGCAAGUCAGAUGUGAAAACUAUGGGCUCAACCCAUAGCCUGCAUUUGAAACUGUAUUUCUUGAGUGCUGGAGAGGCAAUCGGAAUUCCUAGUGUAGCGGUGAAAUGCGUAGAUAUUAGGAGGAACACCAGUGGCGAAGGCGGCUUUCUGGACUGUAACUGACGUUGAGGCACGAAAGUGUGGGGAGCAAACAGGAUUAGAUACCCGCGUAGG
rnacentral:rRNA from 1 species